rnacentral:rRNA from 1 species
GAUGAACGCUAGCGGGAGGCCUAACACAUGCAAGCCGAGCGGUAGAAGAUCUUCGGAUCUUUGAGAGCGGCGCACGGGUGCGGAACACGUGUGCAACCUGCCUUUAUCAGGGGGAUAGCCUUUCGAAAGGAAGAUUAAUACCCCAUAAUAUAUUGAGUGGCAUCACUUGAUAUUGAAAACUCCGGUGGAUAAAGAUGGGCACGCGCAGGAUUAGAUAGUUGGUAGGGUAACGGCCUACCAAGUCAACGAUCCUUAGGGGGCCUGAGAGGGUGAUCCCCCACACUGGUACUGAGACACGGACCAGACUCCUACGGGAGGCAGCAGUGAGGAAUAUUGGACAAUGGGUGAGAGCCUGAUCCAGCCAUCCCGCGUGAAGGACGACGGCCCUAUGGGUUGUAAACUUCUUUUGUAUAGGGAUAAACCUACUCUCGUGAGAGUAGCUGAAGGUACUAUACG